CUGUGAAAUUUUAAAAAUUAUUUAUUUUAUACAAUUUUUUCAUCAUUUAAAUUUCCAAACUGCCUUUUCUCCAGUAACAGAUUGCACACUGCCCAUGAGAGGACCACUUAGUACGCAGAAGUUUCAAUUCAGUUUUAUCUAUACAUUACCAAAUUACAACAACAGUCAUCCAGAAGAGAGACUGUUGGUCACAAAAAUGGUGGACAGAAAGUUAUUUUCCAGUCUGUGAGAUGUCGGCUUUCAGCACCCAACGGCAUGUCCGCGUACUUGCCGUUGGGUGAACGGGAUGGUCCGCGCUUUUUGUUGACAUCUUUUUGCGGAAUCCGUUUACCUACUCUUUAAUCUUUCAUUAAGUUUGCUGUUUUCGCUGUUUUCUGACCUUUAACCAGAGAUUCUAGCAAAAUACAUUUAUAUUUAAAAGAUUUAAUGAAUCGCGAUCGCAUUAUUAAAACUAAAAUCAUUUUGAAUCAGGAAAUAAUUUUUUAACCCACCGAUAGUGAAUACGCAUAUAUGCUGACAUUACAGAUGUACUUACCUAAUCUGAAAAGCAGAGUUUAACACCCCGCUUCCUGGACCAAAUGCAGCUGUGGGUUUGUGCUGCAGAAACAACUGCUUUGGCUACUCUCGUUUUUGUGAUCCUGGGCGUGUCUAUUUUGACUGUAGACAUAGAUGAGAUUAGGCACUACUAAAAAACGAAACUGCAGUAAUAGAAACUAAGCAAGAAAUUGAAACUUAGGUAUCCUCUUGUCAGAGAUUUGAAAUGCCUCACAAAAAGUGUUUUUUAAUUCAAUUUGUUUCGUGGUUUUACACUGCAUGAUCGUUUAAUGGGUCCUUUGUGCCGACCUUUUCAGUGAUCAUCUCUGCAUCGCCUACCAGUUAAACAGUCACAUGAUUUAUAACUGAGGAAGUAAUAAAGGAAGUAAUAAAGGUUAAUGGCAUUUUAUGAACAUCAUAAAUUCUGAUAUAUCAUAAUUCGGUAAUAAUCAAUAAUCAUAUGCCCCCAAAAAUAGGAUCAUAAAUAUAUGGUGAUUGAGUAGGAAGAUGAAAUGAUGUUUGAGAUUAAAAUGAUGGAGUAAUAAGUCAUAAUGGUGUGCUGUUGUCAUUUGACGCCAAAAAGUUUACUUUUUUUGACCAAAAAUGCCACCUUUUUAGACAAUUGUUUUUGUGGAACUGUGUGUGUGAAAAUGUGUUAUACCAUAAUAAAAAUAGCCUGUUUCAGUUUUACUGCUGUUUUCAAUAAAUUGCAUGUUCACUUCCAUUUCUUCUCGUUGCAUGUUGAAGGUCUACUUGGAACCUUGUUAAGAUCCAACGAUGCAAAAUAUGGGCCCCUAUUAUCACAGCAGGGCUGCUGGUGUACAUGGAAUGACCAGCAGAUAAUUCAUGAGACAUGAAGGCCUGUUACCACCAUGAGGUAGCUGAUGAACAGGUGAUGAACGGAAGGCUGAGUUGGUGUUAAAUGUCAUCCUGCUGAUUGCAGUUGAUGGGUUACAGGUGGAAGAUGCAGAUGUGGAACCUUCACGGAUGGACACAGGAAAACAGGGACUAAGCUGAAAAACACCAGACACUCAUUCGGAUCAUAACACCUUUAAAUCUUCACCAUGCCAGGCUCCACCUCCUCUGUCCUGAUUGGAUGCUGCUCACAGAAUCCAGCUAUUUGUCAAUCAGCAAAGCACUACUAAAGGCUUGUGGAGCUGUGUUUCUGGGCCCUCUGGCCAUUUUGAUUGCCAUACCCGUGCAGGCUUGCAUGCCUCUUGACUUGUAUGUGCCUUUUGUGUUUUCAUGUUCACACUGCCUGUCGGGGAGAGCUGCCUUUUGUUUUGACACCCUGCUUUCUCCUGUUUAUGUGUUGUUAGGUAGGUUAUGGUUAUAGGUUGUAUAUUUUGUUUUCUUUGGAGUUAGGUAAGUUUCUUUUAUUUUCAUAUCAGGAAUGUUUUGUUUGUUAUGUUGGCCUUGGCUCUCCCUGAAGUUAACCCUCAGUCUGAACCAGAAUUUCAAUGCUAGCAUGAGAUAAACCUUUUAAAAUUACCAUCUUGGCUCCUACUUCACUAUUUACCUCUGUUAGUCCCUUCAAACCCCCCAGACUAGUCUGGGGACAUAACAUAAAGAAAAUGAAAUAAUUCUUUAACAAAGAAGUGAGGCAUAUUUUACAGCGAUUAGCAAACUGCAACAACUACAUGUCAAUGUUUUUUUUGUUCAUCUUUUUGUCUUUUCCCCACUUAUCCAUUAAACCUCUGUUAACCCUGAAUUUUAUUUAUUUAUGUUGUCAGGUGUGGCUCUGGUUUCAUGAUACUCACCUCUCCAUGUGUCAGAAAGUUAAACUAAUGACUUUAAAUUGACUUUAAUUGUGUAAAACUGUAAUAGUGCAGACUUACAGAUAAUUUUUCAUGUGGAUGAGUGUGCUUGUAAUUUAAGAGAAGGCGGACUAAGUGCAGUGUAAUUCACUCCAUAUUAAACCCACUUCAUUGUGUCUUUAAAUGUAGAAUAAAUGCUGCAUUAGAGACGAGGGUAAAAUCAUGGGAGUGAAAAUAAGAAAAAAUGAAUCCACCAGAAAAUGAGAGAACCUGUGUAAGUCUGCUGCUGCUGUUUGUGUGAGGACAGCCGUAACUCCCUUUAAGUUUUGCUUUUCUUGUAAAUGAAACCAGAGCAAACACCUCUGCUAGUUGAUAAGAUGAAGAUGAAGGUUGAUAAUCCAGAUAUUUGAAUGAGUUUAUUAAAGCGCAAUUGUUCAUCUUUUUAUGAGCAGGUUUAGGUCCAAAGUUUGAACAUGGGCGUGUCUGCCUGCAGGGUGAGAGAUGAAGUUGUCUCUCAUGUAGUAGCUGAUGAAUGAAUUUCAAAGAGUAAACACAUGUUUUUAAUGGCAGUGUUUCCUCGUAUGAUUUGUUUGGUAAUUCAGGUUUUCAUUGUUUAAAGGUGUUCUAUAGUUACCAUCAUCAUAUAAAAACUUUGAGAUCAUUCAUAUGUAGAAAGAUGUGAUUGUGUUAGAACUCAAACUUUUAGUUUCAUUAUGUGAAACUAAUUCAAAUGUAACUUCUGUUUAGAUUUGAAUGUUUGUACUAAAAACAUGAGGCUACACAUAUUUACCCAGGAUGUUUUAAAGCUUGUGGAGCUGCUUCCACUGCUGCAACCCACCAGGAGGAGGUGCUGUCACAGAGAGAAUCACAGAAAUGGCAACGAUACAGCAUCACUAUCAUCGCUGUUUAUUUCAUUUUUCUGUACUUGUUUUUCUAGAAACCUCGGCAUGCUGUGUAGCUAAAGAUCCCUUUUUUAAUGUCAUCAUUUAACAAACUAAGAUGUUUAAGAUAAGAUAAGACUUUACUGAUCCCACAAUGGGGAAAUGUUUGCGUUACCUUAGCUCAGGUACAGAUCAGAAGGAAAAUACAAAAAAUACAAGUAAAAUACAAACAAAUAAAAAAUA